rnacentral:lncRNA from 1 species
AUGGAGUCUCACUCUGUCACCCAGGCUGGAGUGCAAUGGCCUGAUCUCGGCUCAUGGCAACCUCUGCUUCCCGGGUUCAAGCGAUUCUUCUGCCUCAGCCUCCUGAGUAGUUGGGAUUACAGGCACCAGCCACCAUACCUGGCUAAUUUUUUGUAUUUUUAGUUGAGACGGGGAUUCACUGUGUCAGCCAGGAUGGUCUUGAUCUGCUGACCUCGUGAUCCACCCACCUUGGCCUUCCAAAGUGCUUGGAUUACAGACAUAAGUCACCACACCUGGCCUUAUUUAUCUUUUUGAGACAGGUUUUAUCUCUGUCACUCAGGCUGGAGUGCAGUGGUGCAAUCAUGGCUCAAUGCAGCCCCAACCUCCAGGGCUCAAGUAACCCUCCCGCCUCAGCCUCUUGAGUAGCUGGGACCACAGGCAUGUGCCACCAUGCCCAGCACAUUUCUUAGACCUCUGAAAAGAUGCUCAACACCAUAUAUCACAAGGG